UACGGAGGGUGCGAGCGUUGUCCGGAUUUAUUGGGUUUAAAGGGUGCGUAGGCGGCUUCGUAAGUCUGGGGUGAAAGCCCGUUGCUCAACAACGGAACUGCCAUUGAAACUGUAAGACUUGAAUCUAGUAGAAGUGGGCGGAAUGUGACAUGUAGCGGUGAAAUGCUUAGAUAUGUCACAGAACACCGAUAGCGAAGGCAGCUCACUAUGCUUGAAUUGACGCUCAUGCACGAAAGCGUGGGGAGCAAACAGG
rnacentral:rRNA from 1 species